AACCUUGAAUGGAACUCCAGCUGGUAUACUUGACAGUGUUUUGAAAGACAAAGUAAUGAAUUUACAUGUACAUUCAGAGCUGGCCUCUAUUAUUAGAUGCACUUGCCAAGAUGUUAGAAUCAGAAAUUAGAGACAUAUUUUGUACAAAGCAUUUCAUAUUCAUUUAUUUACUCAUUAAAUCAAACACUGGACAUGAAUCAAUGAAUACCACCUAAAGGCUGCUGGAUAGAUUUUCCAGACAACUUCCAAAUCAAAUGCUUCAAUAUAAAGCAUUGAUCCAGUAUACUGAAGCCUGUCCUAAAUCCAGCAAAUCUGUAUGCAAAUUUAAUUCUUUCCAUGACAGAAGAUUUUGCAUUUAUUUUGCAGCCGUUAUUGCAACCUUCAAAUGAAUUAAAGCAUAAUUAGCUGAUUUGUUUUAUCCUCUUCUUGUAUAUGAAAAACAAUAUUAUUCAUUCAUCAUUGAGGGAUCUACUUCAUGAAACUGAUUAAGAAAAGAGACGAUCAAUUUGCUAUCACUGCAGUCAUUCUUUAUUGAACUUAAAAGAUGCAACCAUCUGGAACUUAUUCCAGGAUUUGACUUCAGUUACUUUACUGCUUAACAGUGACCCACAGAGAACUUUAACCAUGUUAUUCUCCCCUUUUUAAUGUGCAAAUCAUAGAAAAUAGCCAGCAAAAAUAAUCAGAACAAUGCAGUAGACAGUGUUGUGCUGCAAGAAUUAAGUGAUAUUAAAUAAACUGUUUUAAAAAAAAUAUUCUCCAAAUCAUUUCACAAGGCUAGAAGAAAUUGCAGCUCAACCACAGGAAGAAUUUGUAAUGUGAAUUUAA